rnacentral:lncRNA from 1 species
UAGAGGUCAAAGGAUGGCUUCUAAGAGCGAGUUCUCUUUUGCCAUAGGAAUACUGGAGAUUGAGCUCAGGUCCUAGGACUCAGGAGCCAUCUUGUCAUUUCAGCAGACUGGAUUUAAACACUUUUCUUGUCCAUUCUGAGUCUCAUUCUAGCUCAGGCGGUACUGGAAUUCACUCAUUAGGCCAGGUUUUCUUUAACUGCAGGGAUCCCCCUGCCUCAGCCUCCCACAAAUGACUGUUACCAAUAAUUGCUUUUAAAUCUUUGGAUUACAAAAUUACCAUUUGUAAAAGGGCAAAACCCAUAUUUCUUGGGUUUAAUCUUUUUAAAAAUUUUGAGUAUGAAUGUUUUGCUUGCAUAUAGGUCAAACGGGAGCGCGACUUGGGAGUCACGGCUGUUUUAAGAGCCACCGUGUGGGUAUUGGGAGUCUGGAUGAAUGAAAAGUGCAUUUAACUGUUCUCUUUAAAGAUUCGGCUGUUUGAUGCGGAGAUUACCGACGUGAGCCACCACGCAAUGAAAAGAGACACUUUUCCGUCUCACACCGGUCCCAUGCAGGAGUUGUAACUAGUGACCCGCUUCUCAGAAGCGCAGAAACUUCAGGGCAAGAAAACCGUAGGAAGCCGAGCUUAGAGAGAAGUCUCUGUUUCCUGGAAGA